GAAGAGGAAAUUAUUUAAAGUCAAAUUAGUGUUGAAAGUCUGAGUAUAUCAGCUGAAAUUUGUACUCAAGGAAGCAGUUUAUCUCGAACUGUCAGUAAUUUUAGCGACAAUCUAUGUGAUUACAAUGAUCAUUCUUUAGAGCGAUUUUUGAAAAUUCCUCUUAUUGAAAAAGACAGGUUAUAUUCUGAAAAAAAUUAUGGAGUAAAAAAACUUGAUGAGAGCUAUGCUGCCCUAGAGAAUAAGUUCCAAUCACAAUUUGGAAUAGUACCUGAAUCUACCUACAGAAAGAUUAAUCAAGAUCAUUGUUCCAUGAUAGCUAAAGUGAAGAAAUUAUAUAACGCUGAAAGUGACAAAUCAAUAAAAAAGAAGCUGCUUUCAAUUUUACCCGACAGUUGGGAAGUCAGUCGUAUAGCAUCUGAAUUUAACUGUUCUCGAAAAAUGUUCCAGGCAAUCAGCUGCUUAAGUUAGAUGUAAAAAAA